rnacentral:rRNA from 1 species
AGUGAACGCUGGCGGUAUGCCUAAUACAUGCAAGUCGAACGACCGCACAGUAAGAUCUUUCUCUUACGGGUGGCGAGUGGCGGACGGGUGACAAGUACAUCGCCAUCUACUUUUUCUUGGGUGAUUUCGUGGGGACACUGCCACUAAUACCUCAUAUGACCUACGGCUUGAAUCAAUGGUGCUUCGCAGCUUUCCCGUUUCAUUUAGCCGACGUCGGAUUAGCUAGUUGGCGAGGUAAAGGCCCACCAAGGCGACGAUGCGUAGCUGGUCUGAGAGGAUGAUCGGCCACACUGGAACUGAGACACGGUCCAGACUCCUACGGGAGGCAGCAGUAGGGAAUAUUCCACAAUGGGCGAAAGCCUGACCCAGCAACACCGCGUGAGUGAUGAAGGCCUUCGGGUCGUAAAGCCCUGUUGUUAGGAAAGAAAAGAUGUAGGAUAAUCCCUCGACGUUCUGACGGUACCCAAACAAUAAGCACCGGCUAACUUCGUG